rnacentral:rRNA from 1 species
GACGAACGCUGGCGGCGUGCUUAACACAUGCAAGUCGAACGGAAAGGCCCUGCUUUUGUGAGGUGCUCGAGUGGCGAACGGGUGAGUAACACGUGAGUAACCUGCCCUUGACUUUGGGAUAACUUCAGGAAACUGGGGCUAAUACCGGAUAGGAGCUCCUGCUGCAUGGUGGGGGUUGGAAAGUUUCGGCGGUUGGGGAUGGACUCGCGGCUUAUCAGCUUGUUGGUGGGGUAGUGGCUUACCAAGGCUUUGACGGGUAGCCGGCCUGAGAGGGUGACCGGCCACAUUGGGACUGAGAUACGGCCCAGACUCCUACGGGAGGCAGCAGUGGGGAAUAUUGCACAAUGGGCGGAAGCCUGAUGCAGCAACGCCGCGUGCGGGAUGACGGCCUUCGGGCUGUAAACCGCUUUCGCCUGUGACGAAGCGUGAGUGACGGUAAUGGGUAAAGAAGCACCGGCUAACUACGUG